UAAGGGUAUUCCACGUUUCUAUGUGAGCGUACUCUGUACUUACAUGUAAGUGCGAUAGCGACACUAAAAAUGGUACAAGGAAAAGAAAACGACAGUUGGAGAGUGAUAAUUUAAAUUUAGUUUAAAAUGUGGACGUUUCCAAGAAACUGUACCAUAUUUCAAGAGCUGUAAAUUAUGAUUAUGAUUGAACUGUAAAUUUAUGAAUCAAGAAGUACAGAAUAAAUUAAAGGAAUAUAAAGUGAGUUACCAUGGGCUACCACUACUUCCUCAAUGCCACAUAGCAAGAUUAUGCAUCGAAAAUUCACGAGUUAACCAUAAUUCCGCUGGAUUCAUCGAGUCUUGCAAACGGACGAAAGUCCCACCGACCAUAAAAUGUUCAGUCACGGUCGAUGAAGACCUCAUCCGGACACACUACUCGUGGCUAGAUUCCGUAUAUUGUGAACAUCAGCUUCACUUCUGAAACUACUUUCGGAGGUAAUACAGGAAGUCUGUAAAAUAAGUACCUGUGUUAGACAUAAAUGUUAUGAAACACCGCAUCCGUUUUAGUUUAACGUAACCAUUAUAUAAUUAUUCUACCACGUCAUAAUAAGUAGACUACUCUCAUUCCUUGAACUUCAGUUUAACAUGAAUUUUUAAAUUUAUUUUUGCAGUACUCAUUGGUAAUAAUGGGACAGUUCCUGUUUACUGAUAUUGUGACUCACAAGGUGUGUCAAUGUGUAUACUGUAUUGAUGAUGUAAGACGCACAUGGUGCGUCAUUUUCCUUGCAUGUCACAGAGACGCACACGUUAUAUUGUCAUCUUUAUUUUGUGAAAGCUACUGUGACGCACCGUGUGCGUCGUCUGCAUUGGUUGGUAUUGUGACACACAGGGUGCGUUGUCAUUGCAUGAUGUUAUUGUGACACACAAGGUGCGUCAGGGUGUACAUUCUUCUUAUAGAAUAGAAUAUAUUGUUACGUCACUGUUUAUAUUUUAUAUCUUAUAAAUAGAAUAGGACGCACAUAGUGUAUCAUCAUUUUCUUUGCGUGGAUGACGUGACGCACAAGGUGUGUCAUCGUUUUCAUUGCGUGGAUGACGUGACACACAAGGUGUGUCAAUGUGUACAUUGUGUAGAUGAACAGGACACACAUGGUGCGUCAUCGUUUAUAUUUUAUGUUGUAUAGAUAAAAUAGUAUACACAUAAUGUGCAACUGUUUUUUAUUGCGUGGAUAACGUGACGCACAUGGUGUGUUAGUGUAUAUUACGUAGAUGAGUAGGACAUACAUGGUGCGUCAUCGUUUAUAUUUUAUAUUGUAUAGAUAAAAUAGGAUACACAUAAUGUGCAACUGUUUUUUAUUGCGUGCAUAACGUGACGCACAAGGUGCGUCAGUGUAUAUUACGUAGAUGAGUAGGACACACAUGGUGCGUCAUCGUUUAUAUUUUAUAUUGUUCACAUAAAACAGGACACAUACGGUGUGUCAUCGUUUAUAUUAUAUACACUGUGUUAUCUGUUGGCAAUGUAUGAGUGAUGUAACAAGAUGUAGCAAGAUAUAGUAAGAUAUAGUGUUGUAAAAUUAUACCUGUAUCAAGCAGUAUCUGAAGCCCAAAUUUCUAGGGGAAUAUGUUCUGUUUUAAGAUUUUGUUUGAAUACUUUACAUAGAGUAGAAUACUUUAUAGAAUUUAAACGAAUUUCUGAAAAAUUUGUAUUAAAAAAUUGUACAAUUAUAGACUAAAUAGUAUUUAACAUCAAAUUAGAAAAUUUUCGAUGCUUUAUUAUGACAAUUCGUUUUCACAGAAAUAGAUUUGAAUUUUACCGCCAUUUUAGAUCACGUCCGGUUUAGAGCAGCAUGGCGGUACAUUCUGCGAUCACUGCUUGAAACGGUGUAAACCACGAGGAUAGAUAUUACGUGCGUGACGUCAUUAGAAUUCUUAACUGGUUAUCGACAUAAAGAAUAUCAUUUCGAAACUGUCAAUUCCGUGACGAAUCUUUUGUCACGUUAAUUCUCUUUUCUUGUUUUGUUACUCACGAUUCUCGCGUCUCGUAUCACCUUGAGAAGGACCAGGAGGAUCUCGAAUCUUGUCGAUUUUUAGCAUUAAAAUCGAGUCGUCUGAUCGUGUUCCCGUCACCGUUCGCGUUAUCGUAGCUGGUAAAUUCACGUGUUACGUAAAUCUUCCAGAGAUCCGCGCAUCUUUGACCAAUUAGCGAGUCUCGUUUUUAUCGUGCCGACACGGUUCACGAAAGAGUCAUUGACAAAAAUUCGCCAGCGAUAUUUCGUUUCGUUUUGCAGCCAAACCAGUGAUGAAUCAAUCAAUUAACAAAACACGCACUCCGGGAAACAAUUUUUCGGAUCUUGAAAAUCUUUCAGAAAUUUUAUGAUCUAUAUUUUUGCAAUUUUUUGUUUAACUUGUGUUGAUGACAAUAUGUAACUAUAAAUAUUGAUAAAUGUUAUGUCAGCAAAGAAUGACAAAAUAUUGUUUAAAAAGGCCAAGAUCUCUGAUCUUGUUUCGACUUUAAUAUUUACUGUCUUGUAAAUAUUGAAGAUAUCGAA